UGUCUUUUAAAUGAAGACCUGUAUGAAUGGCAUAACGAGGGCUUAACUGUCUCCUCCCCCCAGUCAAUGAAAUUGAUCUCCCCGUGCAGAAGCGGGGAUAACAACAUAAGACGAGAAGACCCUGUGGAGCUUAAAAUCACGAACAGACCAUGUCAAGAACAACAAACAAGAGCAUCAAACAAAUUGGCCACUGUUUAUGUAUUUUUGGUUGGGGCGACCGCGGGGUAAUAAAUAACCCCCAUGUGGACUAAGAAAACAUUCUUAAAACUAAGAGCCCCCGCUCUAAGUAACAGAACUUCUGACCUUAAUGAUCCGGCCUGGCCGAUCAACGGACCCAGUUACCCCAGGGAUAACAGCGCAAUCCUCUUCUAGAGCCCAUAUCGACAAGAGGGUUUACGACCUCGAUGUUGGAUCAGGACAUCCUAAUGGUGUAGCCGCUAUUAAGGGUUUGUUUGUUCAACAAUUAAAGU
rnacentral:rRNA from 1 species